rnacentral:rRNA from 1 species
CCUACGGGAGGCAGCAGUGAGGAAUAUUGGUCAAUGGGCGCGAGCCUGAACCAGCCAAGUAGCGUGAAGGAUGACUGCCCUACGGGUUGUAAACUUCUUUUAUAAAGGAAUAAAGUGAGGCACGUGUGCCUUUUUGUAUGUACUUUAUGAAUAAGGAUCGGCUAACUCCGUGCCAGCAGCCGCGGUAAUACGGAGGAUCCGAGCGUUAUCCGGAUUUAUUGGGUUUAAAGGGAGCGUAGAUGGGUUGUUAAGUCAGUUGUGAAAGUUUGCGGCUCAACCGUAAAAUUGCAAUUGAUACUGGCGGUCUUGAGUACAGUUGAGGUAGGCGGAAUUCGUGGUGUAGCGGUGAAAUGCUUAGAUAUCACGCAGAACUCCGAUUGCGAAGGCAGCUUACUAAACUGCCACUGACAUUGAGGCUCGAAAGUGUGGGUAUCAAACAGGAUUAGAUACCCCUGUAGUC